rnacentral:rRNA from 1 species
CGAACCGUGCGAACGUUGUUCGGAAUCACUGGGCUUAAAGGGCGCGUAGGCGGGCGAUCAAGUCCGGGGUGAAAGCCUCCAGCUUAACUGGAGAAGUGCCUCGGAUACUGAUUGUCUUGAGGAGGGUAGGGGCAUCUGGAACUAGCGGUGGAGCGGUGAAAUGCGUUGAUAUCGCUAGGAACUCCGGUGGCGAAGGCGAGGUGCUGGACCCUUUCUGACGCUGAGGCGCGAAAGCCAGGGGAGCGAACGGGAUUAGAUACCCCGGUAGUCCUGGCCCUAAACGAUGAGAACUAGAUAGUGGUCUUGAUAUGGGAUCACUGUCGGAGCAAAAGUGCUAAGUUCUCCGCCUGGGGAGUAUGGUCGCAAGGCUG